CUUACCAAAACGAGCGAAGACCAACUAGAAUACUGAACCCCCAUCGAUUAGAACAAUCAAUUUGUUGAACCGAGUAGAGAGAAAAAAGGCAAAAAGGAAUUCGCAGAGGAAAGGAAAGGGAAAAGAAGAAACCAACGUUAGAAAAGAAAAUUUAAAAAGAGAGAGAAAAAUAAAAAUAAAAAAUUAAAUUAAACCAAAAAAAUAUCCUAACACCCCAUUAUCCCACUAUCUAACAAAUCCCACUAAACCAACCCCCUAACUCUUAACCACCACCAUAGACUUUCAAUCCCAUCGAACUUUAACUACACAACCGGC
rnacentral:lncRNA from 1 species